rnacentral:lncRNA from 1 species
UCGACUAGAUUCUGCACAGUGAACAGUUAAAGAGAAGUAAACCAAGCAAACUGAAAGAUAAUAGGACACAAUAAUUUUUAUACCGGUGAGGUACUUACAUCUAGUUUCCCUUGGGUCACAAGGGACUUCUUAGAUCUUUGAUAAUAGGUUACAAUGAUGAUGGUUUUGGUUCGCUCACCAUCAACAACAUUCAGUGAUAAUGCCUUUUGUAAUGUUGACACAACUUUCUUUUUGUGUUCUAUCUCUUCCUAUCUUUUAUGACACUUGUAGACUCAAGAAUACAAUGUUUGUACUAAGAACUAGAAAGGUUUAGAAUCAGUUUAUGUAGUUGCGCAUCCAAUCCUUGAGUAUGCCACUCUUCUUAUAGACCAGAUUUUAGAGCUGUUGUUGAUUUGUUUUUGAUAUUUGAUUCAUGACUCAUGCCUUUAAUUCCUUCAAGAAGGAUGGGCUGGAUUUAAUAAUCUAGUGUUCCAAGCCGAGAUCUAGAGAGUGCUUCCAUGCUCCAUGCUUUGUCGAAGAAAGGAGUAGAUGGGCUGGAUUAGUUUAUCCAGGGAGUGCUUUCCAUGCUCCAUGCUUUAUUGGGUAGAGGAACAAUACUUCAAGUUGUCUCCCAUUAUAUUAUGUUUCCCUUCCACUUUGAAUCUUCCUUCAUACAUGAUCUGCUAUUUGUAUUUGCAGGUGAGUUAUAUAUAAGGCAAUGGUUCAAAAUACAUAGCCAUUGAGCAGAUCUUCAUUCCUUUUUGGCAAUGCUUGCUUCACCUGAAUCUGCAUACACUAAUAUAACAUUAGUCAAGACUUCUUUAUGGAUAUUUGAUCAUUAUUAAAAUUCUACACUUAACCGUCAUUAGUUUAUCAUUCAUCAGAUGAAGUCAUAAAUUCCUAAUAUAUAGAGGAAAGAAAAUCCCUUGCAAAGGGAGCACUGUUGCAGGCUAAAAACCUUGACUUAAACUGGUGUUUCCGUUGAUGUUUUGAUGUAGAAACUAUAAGCUGAGCACACAAAUGAUAGAAAGGCAUGUAGGAGAGAUAUCUGGUUUGAGUUUGAGAUAAAUGAGGCAACUGCAGUAACUAGUAGCUGAGAUAAGAAUUUAGUUUGAGAAUGUUCAAAUGAAUAACUAGCUAGCUAGUUUCUUGCCACCUAUAACCAAGAUCCUGGAGCAUCUGUUAAGAAGUCAAAGGAGAAAAGCUCCUGGCCUCUGAUACUUUUGCAGCUGUGGCUACUCGUUGCUGCAUUGCUUGACAAUCGAUAAUUGGCUUACUUUUCUAAGAUGCUUCUUACAUCAAGCAACCCAAUCAUUAAACAUAAUGACCAUAAAUAUCUAAAUAACUUGUCCCUAUACGGUUAUCUGUGGGCACUACAAAUGCUAGCUAAACUGAUUUUCUGGCUUUCUACGAUUCUUGUUUUACCACUACAAGUGAUCUUGUUUAGAACCCUUUAUUCUGAUGAGAUAUAAGAGAGCAUCAACUCACUUGUCAAACCAAGAUCUUGCUAAAAGUAGUGGAGAACCCCAGCUAAAACAGUUUUAAGCAUUAUUUUGGCUAUAAUGAACACAUCCAGAGAGGGACAGCGCAUCUGCAAUCAUUCUUCUUUCUCUUAUGGUCACUAUCAUCAAUAUUGUUAUUAAAGGAUGAGUUGUUUCCUUUUUGAAAUAACUCGCUUGUAUAGAUAAGAAAAAUAUAUCUUAAUUAAGCACUAUUAGGGAAAAAAGCACAAGCUAAAACUUACCUUCUGACAGCACAAUAGGAAUAUGCAAAAUUCAAAAGCAACGGCUAUUUUUAUCAUUACCAUUAUGAUGUAGAUUCUGGCAAGUAUUAUUGAGGAAUAUUGGCCCCCUUUAUAGAAUGGUCACGCAUAUAGAAUAAAGGAUGAAACUUUGUCUGAGGUUCAUCUUGUCUGGUUAAAAAUGGUGAUUAGGAUUCCUCCUUAUCAAAUCCUAUGUCAACACUCGAGCUUCUGCGCUUAGGUGGAAUCAGCUACAGUUUCCAUGUCAGCAUUCACGGUCCCAAUAACUGGUCAAGCGACUUCAACUCAUUGUCAAUCUCGGAUUACUCUUGAUUUGCUUCACUAUGAAAACCAUGUUAUGUGUUUGUAUGAGAGGCCUGGAUUUUUUUCUGUGACUCAUCAAUGACCAUAGAUUGUGUAAUAUUCACUCAUUUCUUGCCACUUAUAACUGUGCGGAGAGUUUGUCAAUUCUUGGAUCUUUGCUUGAAAACUCUUACCAAUGCAUAAUAAACUAUCCCUUUAGUAAGGGAGUUCAGAUAUUAGCAUUCUCCUUUUAUGGCUUUUGAACCAAGGAAAAGUUAUAGUAUAACCUUACAAUCCUUUUCCUUUUAUGAAAAGAGAGAGAUCACUAAACUGAUUAUUGUCAAAGAUGGUUAACCUUAUAACUUAUCAUAAAAACAAUUACAGGGCUUCAAAGUCAUAAAGUUCAAAUCUUGUGCCAUGCAUCACAUUCAGAAUCUUCAGAGAAUUGAUGAAAAACAAAGGUAAACGUCGUGUGAUUGUAUACCUUAAUACAUUGUCUCAGGUACCAGUCAAGAAAGAGGUAUUUCUCUUAAAAUUGAUAUAUUAAAUACUGUCAGGAAUAACGCAACUCUCAUGUUUUGUUCCGAAUUAAUGUAUCACCUGUCUGUACCGAUAAAAGCUGUUAACAUUCUUAGCAAUCUAUUUGGUGAAACUAAGGACUGGUCUGAUAAUAUCUAGAGUGCUCUGAUUUCUAACACAUGCAUGACUAAACAGGAGAUGAAAAGAAGUCCACUUUUGAAUUAUUAAGAAGAAUAUUACACAAUAAGAAUAAUAGGACUUGAAUUUGCAUUAUGAGGGAAUUGAUUCCUUGGUGGUAAACUUUGUCACAGUUUUUGCCCCUUUAGAACCUGAACCAUUUUCCACCUGAACGACGUUAGCCUUCGUGUCAGGCAGUUGCUUGCAUUGGCAAUGUGGAUUACACACACUAAUCUAAUGUGUAAGCGUGAGAAUCCAAAUCAUCUCAAGGGUCCAUCUAUCUUAGCAAGAUCACGCGGUAAAAUAACCCCACCUUUCACAUAACAUCUUCCCCUCAUAACACCUACUAGAAAUGGAUACAGAACAAAGAAUAAUAUUUUGAGGAGCUCCUUUUUAGUAGAAUAAUGGACAGUCGAACAGGUAAGGAGGGGCAUUAUUGGACUUCUGCAAGAAAAUAUGCUUCACAUGCAUGAAUAUGACAGUCGACAACUUUAGAGAGCCAUACCUCUACAGUCAAUAAGGAAGGAAAGUAGUUGGUUUAUCCAACUCUUUUUUGGAAAAUUUGCGCUAUCUUGUGGAAUCUCAUUUAAGGAAACUGUUUGAAGUCACAAAACAGAUCAAAAAGUAAACUUUGGGCCCCAAACAAUGAGGUCUUCCAACUAUAUAUACCUCCCCAAACCAUUCAUCAAAAUUACCACUUACAGCAAACCAUUUCUUGAGCUUCAAGUUUACGUCUAGUUGAGAAGUUCAAGUCUUCAAAUUAUCAAGGUGAGGCAUCGAUGAUUUAGUUUCCUUUUGUGGUUCAUUUCAUUAUUCUUCCAGCUUCUACACAAAAAAGGAAGAAAAAUACAAUAACUUUAGUCUUGAGUCCAAGUUUUUCAAACAAACUAGGCCCUUAAAUACAAGAUUAAUGUGCUGCGAAAUUUUUUCCUAGAAUGAAAUAACUGUUCAUGUGUAAGCAAUGCAGUUCUAGCAUAUAGAACUGAGACCUUGUUGACUAUAACCAUGUAUAGAAUGAGGCCUCAAAGAUGGAUAACCAAUAAGAUUUAAUGGCCUAUUUUACUUCCCAUAUGAAAAUUUGUUCUCAUCAUAUUUUCAAGUUCAAUUUCAGGUAGACAUAAAAUGAGCAGUGGAGAUUGGAUGUGUGCUGCAUGCCAACACAUAAAUUUCAAGAAACGGGAUGCAUGCCAACGAUGCAGCUGUCCUAAAUAUGCAACGCCGGCUGAUGUUGCCAUGUAUGGACUAAACAAAGCAGAAGUCUUAGCUGGAGACUGGUAUUGCAGUGCGAUGAACUGUGGUUCUCACAACUAUGCGAGUCGAACAAACUGCUAUAGAUGUGGUGCCUUAAGAAGUGAUUAUUACGCUGUUGGGGCAGGAGUGAUGGCAUCAGCAGGUUAUGGAUAUGAUGCAAGUGCUAUUCCUGGUUGGAAGAGUGGUGAUUGGAUUUGCAGCAGGUCAGUUCAUAUUUACACAUUUCAUUUCCCAUGCAGUUCACUUACUCUAUAACAAUAACUACGCCUCAAUCCCGAGCAAGAUAGGCUUAACUGUAUGAAUCCUAAAGGUUAAUGUCUCUCCUUUUAAUCUCAUCUCUGUCCAAUACUGCAACAACACCAUCACUACUGUCCAAUAUCGCUCUAGUUAAACUCAUCUCAAACCAACAAUAUACAAAAUAAAAUUAAAAAAUACUAGAAGUUUACUAUAUUUUCUACUGGCAUAUAAAUCUCUGAUAAGACUAGGACUCCUAGAAAACAUUGUAUUAUGAGGAAUCAUCACAAGAUUGACUAGUUUUACGCUAACUGUUAGCCUGCCGCAAUUCUCCUCCUUUUACUACUGAUAUGUGCAGGUGACAUACUAUAGUUGGGAUUUUAACUAACAUAACUUCCUUGAUCGACAGAAUUGGAUGUGGUAUGCACAACUAUGCAAGCAGAGAAGAAUGUUAUAAAUGCAAGACACCUAGGGAUUUUUGUGAGACAUCUUCCAUGCGAUUCUGAUACUUCCUAUCAAUAUUUUACUUUCCAACACCAUUGUUUAUUUACUAACAUCUGUUAAUUUCUCUGUUUUUUAGGAGGUGAUCUGAGAGAAAGUGGAUUAUAUUGAGGGAUGCGGCGACAUUAAGUUAUUACUGAAGAUUUACCAGAAAUCAUAACCUUCAAUGACCUUUCUUCUUUUCCUUUUAGUUUUUCUUUUCUUGUUUAGUAGUUUCCUUGUAGUUGCUCAAAGAAGGGUUUGUAAGUCUAACUGCAUUGUAACUUUACAAAGUGUUCAAUGAAUGAAAUCCCUUCAGAUUUCGCAUUCUUUCUGUCUUUCAAGUUUCAACAACUGCAUUUGUAGGGGUGGUCCAAUAAAAUAAUUUUAUGUAUCCAAUGGAAGGAAUUGCUAGCGUAGGCUCGGGCCUUAUAUGUGUAAGAAAAGAAUAAAAGAAAGUAUAUAUAUAAAGAACCAGACCUACUGACUCUAAAUCCUAAAUACAGUGCUGUGGACUGUGGCUAGUGGCUUAGGUGAGUCUUCCCAACUUACUUUAAACAACACUUGUCACACCUCCUUUUUCUCGAUAGGGAUAGGGGAUAGGGGAUAAGGGAGUUUUUUUCAAUUUAAGUGACAUUAUUCGAAUUGAGAUUAUUUUUAUUUUUUUCAAAGUCGUCACUUGGAAUAUUUAGGGUGUUCCAAGUCACCGGUUUAUUUUAAAUCCCAAAUCGAGAAAAUUUGACUCGGUUUAUGUUCCGCAAACACAGAAGACCAGGUAAGGAAUUUUGUUAAUCCGAGAAAAGGUGCCAGACACUCGCGAAUUUCAUGAUUUUAGCACGGUCGCUUUAAUCAUACCUGGUUUAAUUAGAUUGUUUUAUCACGUAUUUUAAAACCUAAGUGCAUUUUACCUUUUACCGCUUUUAAUUAUGGCGUUUAUGGAUUUAAUCUUUGAAACAGACUACAUGUGUGUAAGUCUGCUUCGUUUGGGGCACUAAAAUCAUGUCACGCGAACGUGUACACAAUUAAUUGUGCUUUAUUAAUUUAAGAUUGUUUGGUCGAAGUUGCGCGAACGCAUACCUCGAUUUAAUUUUGGAUAUCGGGAUCACGUCACGCGGACAUGUACGCAUUCACGAUAGUAGUUUAAAAUCCGUGCCUAAAGCAUUUCUACGAGUGUUUAAUUAAGUCAUUUUAUUUACUAAGAUUGUUUGACCAUGAUCACACGAACAUGUACCUUGGUUUGUUUUUGGCAUCACAACUAUGUCACGCGUGCGUGUACAUGAUUGUAAUAAUUAAGUUGAUUAUAAAUACCUUGAGUUAUGCUUAUGUCUCUAAACUAAAUAUUCUAUGUCAUAUGGCUAAGUGUAAAGGUUUAAUACUAGGUGAUAUGUUUGUUUGUAUUAGAUGGGGGCAGCCUAUGUAUUAUCUGUCAAACAGGCCCAGAUUUAAAGUUUGAGGCCCGAUGAGGAUUGAGUCCAAAUGAACUUUAGCCCAAGACAUAUAUUUUCGUUAUUGGGCUUAGCUAAUGGAUUCAGUUCAAAAGGAUUUGGGCUUGUUUGAGUCUAAUUGACUGCCCAAUGCAUAUUUUAAGGCAGCUAAAUGAAUUCAAUCCAAACGAUUUGGGCCUAGUGAUCAUGGAGUCCAAAUGACUCUGGCCCAAUACCAUGUUGUUAAGCAAUCAAUCAAUUAAACACAUUUAAUUCAGAAAGAUCUAGGGCUAAUGAUGAGUCCAAAUGACUGUGACUUAAUGUUCAAUUUUAUAGACAACUAAAUGAAAUUAACUAAAGGCAUUUGGGCUUGGUGAUAAUGAGCCCAUGUGACUUUGGCACAACUCAAUGUUAUUAAGCAUUCAGUCAAUUAAACACAUUUAAUUCAGAAAGAUCUGGGCCUGAUGAUGAGUCCAAAUGACUCUGGCCCAAUGUUCAUUUUUAUGGACAACUAAAUAAAAUUAACUAAAGAUAUUUGGGCCUGGUGAUAAUGAGUCCAUGUGACUCUGGCCCAGUGCAUAAUUGUGUGAAUGAGUUUGAAAUUAAAAUUUAUAACAACAAUUAUCAGAUUUUACUUAUAUUUUGUUUAUCUUUUAAAACAGAAAACUAAAAAGGGUCUGGGGACACGAACCAAAAUUAAAAUUGGAUAAUUUCCUAUUAAUUGCUUAAAUCUCCUAUUUCUUAUAUUAACUUAUGUUAAAGUGAUAAGUUUUAAAACUCAUUUGCAUUUGAAAAUCUUAAAGUGUAAAGGCCUUUAAUCAACUCAUUUUUAUUAGCCAAAGACCCAGAAUACAAUCUUAUGGACCCAAUUGAUUUGGGCCUGAAUUCGUACCUUGAUUACUGUUAGGUUGCUUGUAAAAUCCAGCUUUUUAUGAUUUUAAACUAAUAGCAUUGGAAUUAGUAUAUUUUAAUUGUUUAAUAACAUAGUAAAGCUACUAACUAACGCAUUGCAUGAGAGGAUAUAAUAUAAAACAAAAUUAAAUUAUUACAUCUCACUAACAUGGACAGUGAUAACAAAUCUGUCUACUACUAAUCUAACAAAUUUUCUAGAAAAAAGAAAGAUUUUCUCUUUUUAACUAUUCGAACGUACCAAUCUUAUGACUAUAUGAAGCUUUAAACAGAUUUUAUAAUUUUUUCAGAACCCUUUAAAAUGAAGCUAAUAUAACUUAAAUUGCCUAAAACAGUGUAAAUAAUUAACUCUACAUGCUUUCAUACACAACUCUCAACCAAACAACUUCAAACAAUAUGAUUCAUGCAGUGCUCAGAUGAAGUAGAAAUUCUUGAUAACCAGCAAAAAUAAAACUUUACAUUGUUAAAAGAAAAUACCUUGAUAGCAGCAAGCAAACUACAGAUAAGAAAAUAAGUAUCUGAAAGCUUGAAGUAAAACAGCAGCAAUAAAACCCAAUAGAAUAAGAAGACGACCAGAUUUUUAAAAAUAGGAAAGGAAUGUAUAUUUUUGAUUCUCAAAGAUCAAGGUUGAUUUUCAAAAGUUUUUCUUUUGAAAGAGAGCAAAAUCUUAAGGCAGUCUAUAUGUGUCCAUAAUGUGUCUUCAUAUCCUUUUCUAAUGAAGAAAGAGGAGUGUAUUAUAUAGAGUGAGAGAGUGAAAAG